rnacentral:rRNA from 1 species
GAUGAACGCUAGCGGGAGGCUUAAUACAUGCAAGUCGAACGGUAACAUGGAAGCUUGCUUCUGAUGACGAGUGGCGCACGGGUGAGUAACGCGUACGGAAUCUACCUUUAAGAGGGGGAUAGCCCAGGGAAACUUGGAGUAAUCCGCCAUGUGAUUAUGGGAAGGCAUCUUCUUAUAAUUAAAACUACGGUGCUUAAAGAUGAUCGUGCGUUUGAUUAGUUAGUUGGUGAGGUAACGGCUUACCAAGACGAUGAUCAAUAGGGGGCGUGAGAGCGUGAUCCCCCACACGGGUACUGAGACACGGACCCGACUCCUACGGGAGGCAGCAGUAAGGAAUAUUGGACAAUGGGCGGAAGCCUGAUCCAGCCAUCCCGCGUGGAGGAUGACGGCCCUCUGGGUUGUAAACUCCUUUUAUAUACCAAGAAACGCCUUUACGUGUAAGGGUUUGACGGUAGUAUAUGAAUAAGCACCGGCUAACUCCG